UUCUGUUAUGUUUAAUGUAUAAAAUAUUUUACCUACUUGCAUAGAUAGCUGAUCAAUCGGUAAUUGAAUUAUCACCUAAUACGUACCUAUCGUGUUGGAAAUCUAUAUCGUCUGUAAUAUUUUGCAUAACAUAUUGGCGCGAGAAAAGCGUUACCUAUCUAAUGAUAAUACCUAUUCUUUAUUAUAAUAUUAUACACCUAUCCCAUGUAUUUAUUAUGAAUAAUAAUAAAUUGGAAUACAAGUACCUAUACGGUCCGAAUAACAGGUAAUUUCGUAACAAAGAGUAGGUAGGUAUAGGUUAUGCCAAUUAAUGGUAAUAAGGUACCUGCUACCUUGGUAUCAGCUAUAGCGCAAGUUUUAGUUCUUUGUCUAAACGAUAUUAUGAUAUUUACGACUUGCAGAUGCUUUGUGUAUCGAUUAUUGAUACCUACCACGUUUAUGGUGUUUAUUUAUAUGCAGUCGUUUAUGCGACAUAAAUUAUUGUACUUAAAGUUCAUGCAUUCAAGAUUAACUUUAUACCCACGGCGGACUGGCAUUAACUAAGAUUAACUCUGUUAUGCGAAUGUUU